ACAAUAGCUCAGUUGGUAGAGCAUGAGACUCUUAAUCUCAGGGUCAUGGGUUUGAGCCUCACUUUCAGUG
rnacentral:tRNA from 1 species